GCCUGGGUGGCUCAGCUGGUGAAGCAUCUGACUCUUGAUUUCAGUUCAGGUCAUGGUCUUGCAGUUUGUAGGUUCAAGCCCUGCAUCAGGCU
rnacentral:tRNA from 1 species